CAUGUUAUAUAGAAAUUCCAAAAUAAUCCUUGUCAACAAAACAUGUUAUUUGAUCCUCUUACAGACUGCAAAGGUAUGUCUCAUGCUCUACAGAUUGUCAACCAUCUUAUGCUUGCACUCAUCAUCGACUGCUAUAUAUGUUAUAAGGCACGAUAACAAAUUGUGCUUCAUCACCUCUUGCAAAUCUCACGACCUCCAAUCCUUGAUGCACUAAAUCGACUUUCACCACGACCAUUUAUGUUCCCUCGCCACCCCUGCUCGGAUGAAGAGGUGACUGAAAAGAAAAUGAUAUAAGUACAUCAAACAAUCAGAUCAGGGCUGUUAACAAUCCAGAAAUGCCGUAAGUCAUACUGGUGUACAUGAAUAACCAAAUGGCAUAUACAAUUGUCCUAAAGAGGGUAAAUAGAAAGUUUAACCAAAGUAAUCUUACAACCUCAUAUUAGAGGUUAGAUAUCUUUCACGGCGAUUACGGAAUGAACACUCUUACAGUAAAGCGAGUCAGUGGUGACAACGGGAGGCACACGCGUAGUCGGCGACAACUGCGCGGAUGAGAGGGUAGGACAGGGGGACUUAGUUUGUGGUCCUGUAGCUACACGAUGGAAGAAGUAAAAAAAAUCAGUGUAUGCUCAGUCCAUGCAACAUUAAAAGUGCACCCAAAAAAGAAAAUCAAAAACUCAGUUUAUUCUCAUGGUUCUUUACUCAACACUUGCUUGGCCAUGUUGCUCUUUCCCCUACGCCUAUUCGCUGCACGUCACAACAACACAUGCCAAAAGAAAUCUGGAAUAUAAUGACUAAAAAUUUUGGAUAUAAUGCCACAAAAACUUGCAAAAUUUCUUUUAAAUAUGAAUCUCUACUCUCCCCUGUUUACGAAAAUAUGUUGUGCUCUAGCUAGUCUAUACAGAUCAUACAGGUUCUAUUGGUUAUAGGGGUCACUAAUAAGUGGAGAAAUAUGUAUAGAGAGAUAUGGGUGAGAAAGGCGCAGUACCAUUGCCUAUGUAACGUAUUAGUGUAACAUUCAUCAGUAUUAUAUACCGUGAAAUGUACAAGUCCACAUUGCAGACCACCCAAACAUGUCACAAUCCCUAUAUUGAGCUGAUAAAGCAAAAGAACAACCAGUCAGAACAUACUUAAAGUCAGGUCAAUUUACAAAUUGCAGGCAAUGAUCAAGAGUAGGUGAAUUACUAACCAAAGAAAGCCUCCAGAAUCAAAUCGAGCAUGACACCAUCAUGGACAUCAGGUUGAAGCGAUCUAUUUCUAGAUAAUAUACCUUGCAUUCCUGUAGUAAUAAAGCAUGAACAAUGAUUGGAGAUUAGAGGAAAAAAUGAUAGAAAGAAAUAGUUGUGAGAGAUCUUGCAUUCACAUUUCAUGUAGCACAAUGAGAGAGAGAAAAUACAGGCAAAUAUAAAAAAUAAGGCCAAGAAUUGUUUUCUUAAAGGCCUUAAAAUGAAAUGGUAAAGAAAAACAAACCCCAUUGAAGAAAAGAACAAAAUAUGUGCUUCAGGUAGAAGCAUCAGUCACCAGGCUCACAUCAUUAUUCUUUGCCAUGGUGCAGGCUUUGGUGCUGAAUGUAGAAUCUAGGCUUCCUCCUGACUACCCUUCUAAUGGUAUCCUCUCCUGCCUCAAUCUAUGUUGCGUGGAUACUUCAGAAAGCGCAUGUAUCCAGCCGGAUACUGCCCCGAUAUGUAUCCCGUAAGUAUCUCUUGAUUUUUUUAUUUGAAAAAAAGAAAAUAAUGUUCGGUACUCCUGGGAUACUGCUGCGAUACAUUUUGGAUACCUCAAACCCCUCGUUCAACCUGAAAUCCCCUCAAUAAAAAAGGCGCACGUUUGAAGAUUCCCAACAUGGGCGUGAGUUCAUGUCAAAACAUGACUGUCAAUGUUCUUGUUCACCAGCCAUGUUGCUCUAAUUUCCCCUAUGCCUAUUCGCUGCACAUCACAACAACACAUGCCAAAAGAAAAUCUGGAAUAUAAUGACUAAAAAUUUGGAACAUAAUGCCACAAAAACUUGCAAAAUUUCUUUUAAAUAUGCAUCUCUACUCCCUCCUGUUCACAAAAAUAUGUUGUACUCUAGCUAGCAUAUACAGAUCAUACAUGUUCUAUUGAUUGGGGGGUCACUAAUCAGUGGAGAAAUAUGUAUAGAGAUAUAUGGGUGAGAAAGGCGCAGUACCAUUGCCUAUGUAACAUAUUAGUGUAACAAUCAUCAGUAUUAUAUACCUUGAAAUGUACAAGUCCACAUUGCAGACCACCCAAACAUGUCACAAUCCCUAUAUUGAG
rnacentral:lncRNA from 1 species